UACGAGGGGUGCAAGCGUUAUUCGGAAUUACUGGGCGUAAAGCGCACGUAGGCGGACCAGUUAGUUGGGGGUGUAAUCCCGGGGCUCAACCCCGGAACUGCCUCCAAAACUGCUGGUCUGGAGGUCGAGAGAGGUGAGUGGAAUUCCGAGUGUAGAGGUGAAAUUCGUAGAUAUUCGGAGGAACACCAGUGGCGAAGGCGGCUCACUGGCUCGAUACUGACGCUGAGGUGCGAAAGCGUGGGGAGCAAACAGG
rnacentral:rRNA from 1 species